rnacentral:rRNA from 1 species
UACGGAGGGAGCUAGCGUUGUUCGGAAUUACUGGGCGUAAAGCGCACGUAGGCGGCUUUGUAAGUUAGAGGUGAAAGCCCGGGGCUCAACUCCGGAACUGCCUUUAAGACUGCAUCGCUUGAAUCCGGGAGAGGUGAGUGGAAUUCCGAGUGUAGAGGUGAAAUUCGUAGAUAUUCGGAGGAACACCAGUGGCGAAGGCGGCUCACUGGACGACUGUUGACGCUGAGGUGCGAAAGCGUGGGGAGCAACAGG